GACGAGGGAUCCUAGCGUUGCUCGGAAUUAUUGGGCGUAAAGCGGGUGUAGGUGGCUUGGUAAGUCGGGUGUGAAAGCCCAGGGCUCAACCCUGGAAGCUGCAUUCGAUACUGCUGAGCUUGAGUGCGAGAGAGGUUAAUAGAAUACCUGGUGUAGUGGUGAAAUACGUAGAUAUCAGGUGGAACACCGGAGGCGAAGGCGGUUAACUGGCUCGACACUGACACUGAGACCCGAAAGUGCGGGGAUCAAACAGG
rnacentral:rRNA from 1 species